CUUGGGGUUUGACUGUCUAGUGACGGUGGCUACAGCGAGUCGGGUGGACGCGGGCUCUCGCAGCCUCUGACCGAGGCGGGCUCAAGUUCAGGGCUUGGGCGGGGAUGCAGGGGACUCAGGCACCCGGAAGGCUCGGAAACCGGGCCAGGUGUCUGGGGCUGAGAGCGCUGAGUGUGGGGUAUUUCCCCACUUGGGGUGCUCGCUAUUAUCCACCGGCACUUCGCCGCCUUGCGGGGCAGGAGGCUGUUCGCUCGGGUGUGUGCCCCCCCGCACUUCCGGGGGGCGGGAGCACCGCCCUUAAGGUGGUUCUGUUAAGUCCCCUGUGGGGGCGAGUGAAAGUGGGCUUAAGUUUAGGGGCGGUCUCGGGAGAGCGGGCCCCCCACGUUGAGGACGCUGCAAAGUUUGUCUCCUGGUCAAGUUCACGAGCGAUCGUCCGCGCUGCUGUUUGGCUGAGCCCAGAAGCCAAGUGAUUUGCAUUGCUCGAAACUCGGUGCUCAGCGAAGUCUGCGUUGCACCCCCACUGCACCUCCCAGACCAUGGGAGAAAGGGUGCGCGCGCUCAGUUUUGCCUUGAUGGGGAAGUUUUUCUAUAGGGGGUAGAAUUAGGGGGCAACUCAGCUUCCAGUUGUGAAUGCGCGUUUAGGGAAUCCGAAACUUGGGGAACCCCGGUGAUCGUCUGCUACCCGCCCCCGCACAACAUGCAACCAUAGUUCACAAACACACGCGCGCGCGCGCGCGCACACACACACACACACACACACACACACCACCUCCCGUCCUGAUUUGUUUACAGGAAAACAAGUCCGAGAGCGUCAGAUAACUCAGAAAAAAGUCACGCAGCGAGUCAGGGGUAGUGACCAGGAUUUAAGAUCUCUCCGCUCCGGGCCAGGUGGUGGGCCCAUAUCCUGGGUAGCCUCUAGGAAGCGCUAGACCCAUAUAAGUGGUUCCUUUUCUGCGGUUAUUUUCUCCUCCUCCUACCCCGCAGCCCUUAGGGACAAAAGUGUAUGGCGGAAGGAAUAUCCAAAUCGGGGAUCGUGGGUUCUCGCGUGCCCAGCGCUGCCACGGUGUGAAGUGACCGAAUUGCCGAACUUCUCUUGAAUUCGUUCAGGUCUGCAAGUGUGGCCGGUGAGACCCAACUCACUGGGCUGAGCUAGUGGAACAUCGUCGCCUCCAGGGCCAGGAGGUGGUCGCCGAACAAACCCCUUUUCUACCCUCCUUCGGAGUUUCCCAGAACCUCGAUGAAAUGCGGAAUAUAAGUGUGACUUGGCAGAACCAGGUGUCCUUACCCCUGUGAGGAGCGGUGAGGAGAGGAAGAUUGUCAGCUUGGAAAUAUGCAUUCAUGUCACAAUUGGAGUAAGGAGGCAGAAAUGAAGAAAAUUGAAAUACAAACUGACCCUUCCACUGACUUGCCCCGGAUCACACUGUCAAAAGGAAGGAAACAGCUCUGGGCCCACCCGGAUCCAGCUGCGAAGUUCCGGCUCUCUCCACGCAGCCCUGCCGUCUGGCUGAAGGUCCGUGGACAGGAGCCACACGUAUUAUCGGGCUGCCUCACAUUGCGUGCAUUUUUCGUAUGUGUACGCACAUGUCAGCCAGCGCGUUGCUGUGCCUGCUGGGCAUCUGGCCUCCUUUGGAGACUUUUCUCUGCUGUAACGAUAAUUCUUUGCUGCUGGGGUGCCACCAGCCAUGACAGUGAAGGUUGGACCAGGGGUGUGGAUGAGCCUAUCACCAAGAAGGCCUGCUGUGCUCAGAGUUCAGAAGGACCUCUGAGAUUGGACAUGGACUCUAAUAGUCUCCCAAAGACUCCGAGUCCCCACUUACAGUGUCACCGUAGCAAGGAGAUGUACUCAGCGCCGUUUGAGACCAUCUGGCCUCUGAGACAAGCAUUUGGGCCACUAGCCCUUUGAAGAGGUGGCAGUUUUGCAUACCUGAAUGGUCUUAGUUUUUGCACUGGGCAGGCAGAUUGACCAAACCUUCCGGAAGUGGAGGGAAUAAUAAAGAUGAAGGUCUUUGCAACUUUAGGGCCUGUUCUUUCCAAAUCUCUUUUAAGGCUCAUGAAAGCAGAGAGCAACGGGCAGAGAGACUGGGGGAGAAUAAGCUCUUGGCAUGGCUGUCGUGGAGGAAGCCCCAGACUAUGGCUGUGUGACCUUGGGUAUUCUCCACUUCGCCUCUGAGCCCCAGUGUUUUCUUGUAGUGUUUGGCAGUGGUACUGCGCUUUCUUCCUUUCUCCUGUCCCCAGAUGGUGGCUGUGACAAUUAAAUGGGACUAUGUUUAUGACAUUUGAGCAGGGUCCCAACACAGAGAAGGGACUGGGCAAAAGUCAGGAAGCUUGGGUUGUACUUUAGAUCCUUCCCAGAACUCUGAAUCUCCUUUCUCUGGGUCUCCCCUUCUGUAAAAUGAGGGGAUUCAAGUAGGUAAUUUUUUCCUUUAGGGUCUCUUUUGACUCAACAUGCUCUAAUCCUAUCUCUAAGUGGAGCACUAGAAGAAAAUUUUAAGAGAUGAAUGGAUUUUUUGGUAUUUAGCUACUUAGCUGUUCAACAAAUACUUACUAAGGGCUUACCAUGUGUCAGGUGAUGGAGGUAGCACUUGCCUCAUGGACCUUCUAGUCUAGAACAGAUUUUCAGGGCAGCCCCUCCUCUCAGAGAGUUGAAAAAGUGCCAGGGCUCCACGGGGAGCGCCUGUUCACUAAAAGAGACACAUUGAGCAAAUAAAUUAAUGCAGACACUUUAAGGAAGCUCUUGGAGUGACCCUAGAGUUGGGGAACAGUUCCUAGGAGUCAGGAAAGUUUGUGGGAGCUCUGGCCAAGGGUGUGUAUAAUUGCAAAAGAGUUUGUUAAUUGAGACAUCUGAGAAUGUGAGGAUCUGCCCCUACCUGCCUGGUUCUCAAGGGGGUCAUUUACUGGAACAAGGAACAAUGACCGCUUCCCAUGCCUUGUCUUUUCCCUAGAGGUAGAGCCAGGGAAGAUGCUGGAACCCAAAGGGAGAAGAGAAGGGUGACCAGAGAAAAAUGCCAGCCUUAAUAUAACACUUGGGCUAAGCCCAGAGGACCAUGAAUAGUUACAGAAUCUCAUCUGUAUCCCAUCAAGAGAGAAAAGGGCCCAGUUGGAGCACAAGGGCCACUUGAGAGUUGGUCUCAGGGUCAUGGUCAGGAGGCUGCCUGGGGAGGUGGAAAGAACUUGGACUUUAGAGUUGGAGACUGACUUGGAUUUGAAGGCAUGGAACCUUGGGCAAAGGACUGAACCUCUCUGAAACAGCUUUUUAAUCUGUUAAAUACUUCACAGUGUUGACUUCUGGAAGAUGUUAUGAGGUAUAAUAUGUCUUAGGCACCUGGGACUACCUAUCGAUUUGAUGAUUAGUGUUUAUAAUUAUCACAUCACAUGUUAACAGGACCUGGGUCCUGUUUCUGUGCAAUAUUGAAAACCAGUGGUAGAAGCAACUUUGAUGAGAAAUCUUAGAAGCAGUUUGUAUUAUCUUCUUCUUCUUUUUUUUUUUUUUAAGACUUAUCUAUUUAUUUGGGGAGAGCUCACCAGAGGACACACAGGAGCGGUGGAGGGAGUAGGUGGAGGUGGGGGAGAUGGAAAGGGAAAGAGAAUCUCCAUCAAACUCUGUGCUGAGCCUAGAGCCCAACACGGGACUUGAUCUCAAGACCCUGUGGUCAUGACCUGAGCUGAAACUAAGAGAUGCUUAAUUGACUGAGCCACACUGGUGCCCCUGUAUUAUCAUUAAUAUAAGUGAAAUGGUGACUGAACACUGAGUGAAUUGGCAGGGAUUUAUCUCUAGCUUAACUCACCCCUUAACCAGCUAUCUGACCUUAGAUAGGCAUUUUUGCCCUCUUUGAGACUUGGCUUUCUCCUCUGUUAAAUGGGAAUAAUUUUCAUGCUCAACCUUUUCUCAUCCAUCCAUUCAACAUUUACUGAGUGUAUUUAAUGAGCCACACCAUGUUUGGUGCUGAGGACGCCAGAACAAAGCAUCGUCCCUGUCCCUAAGUAGCUCACCAUCUAGUGGGACAGGCCAUUAAGCAAGCACUUACAAUACAGUAGAGACAGGCCUAGCCUUGUCUGGAUGGACAAGAAGGCUUCUUGGAGGAGGUGCCAUCUAAAGCUGAGAGCUGAAGGAUGAAUCUUUUUUAAUCAAGGAAAAAAUAGGAAAGGAAAGCGAGGAGCUAGGAAGAACAUUCUAGGAAGCGGGAAUUGCAUGUGCGGAGGUUAGAAGAUAAAUGGGCACAGCAGAUGCGAUCACGUGGCUGGCUGAGCAUCUGAGCAUGCCUUUCUGCAGCGUGGACUUUGUGUAAAGGCAGUGGGUGACCCCUGAGAUAUCUGAAGUGGGGGAGUUGGAGUAACAUCACUGUAUUUGCAUUUUUAGAAGGAACACUCAGGGUUAUAGGUACAUAUGUCAAGUUAUAUUAUAGAGAGCAGUGGGGGCAAGUUGAUUCUUACCUCCUCCUCUUCCUGAUCCCCUUCCUCCUUCUCUCCCUCCCCACAGGAAGUGAAAUAACCCGCAGGAGCAUGCCCGGUAUGGUGUCUGGCACAUAGUAGGUGUCCAGUUAGCAUUUAUCAUUCCCCUUUUUAAAGUAGUCCUUGAAAGAGAAAUCCCCUGGCAUGGAGUGCCUUUUGGGGUAAAAGUGCUGUGGGCGGGGCUCUUUGUAUUUCUGGCUGCUGUUCCGAGAUAGCUGACGGGAUUUAGGUCAAAGGAAGUUCCCCAGACAGUUCCGUUUCAGCCAGUCAUCUGGGGUUUCAGGGCGGGCAGGUGGAGGUCAAAAUAUCUCCCCGAAUUCCAUGAGGAGCCUAUUCGUCCCCCAGGGUCCUGGUCUUGAAAACUUACCAGGCAUGGGCAAUCCUGCUGAUUUGUUCAAGCUAGCUUCCUCAUCUGUAAAAUGGGUUUGAACUUACCUGUGCUGUAGGGUGUCGUCAGGCGAUCAGAAGAAACAUGUGAACCACAACGAAAUAAUACAAUAGAUUCUACUCACUGAUGCCUACCUUAGGCCAGGCCUUGUUCUUAUGAAGCCGGUAUUAUCACUAACCCUGUUUUACAGAUGAAGAAAUUGAAAUUCAGAGAAAGUAUGCAAAUGACCCAGCACAAAGUAAGUGGCUACAGCCAGAGCUCUAGAGUUUUAACCCCUACACCAUGACAACCAUGAUGUGCUGUCCCUUGAAAACUACCAGCUGCUCCCUGAGCUCUUAGCAUGAUUCAGGUAAUCCAGAAAUGCAUGCAGAAAGGUGGAAGAAGGAAGGAAAAGGGUAGUGUCUGCAAUCUGAGAAAGUCUCUUCUAAUGCCUCCCACCUCUCCCUCCCAGCCAGUUUAGGGUUUUCUCCCAGAAGCACUCUGAGAAAUGGUUCCCUGCCCCAGAUGAAAGUGACCUGUUCCUUGCCUGAUGCCUCACUAGUCUGGGACAGGGUGAAGGUAGGAACCGGGUCUGGGUCAUGGUGGUAUCCCCAGGGCCUAGUACAGUGCCUAGUACUAGAAAAAUAUCUGUGAGUCAGUUCCUUCUGUCACUUGACUGGCUUUUCUGCUCAAGCCUUCCUCUUGGCCAAGAGGUCUAAAGCAAAGGAACUGAGGCUUCAGGGGAAGUUCUUGGAGAUAUUGGGCAUUUGCUGAUGGAGGGCCACGAAGAGGAGAGUGAACCAGCCUUAGGCCAAGCCCCAAACCAGCCUCCCACACUCCCCCUUGGCUGGCUGGACCUAGAGGGCUAAGGCUGCCUUGGACAUCCUACCCACUUUCUCCAUUGGAUUUGACUCUGGAGGGCCAUGCACAAGGCCAAGAUGUCACACCAGGAAUCCCAAGGGCUUGCUCAGUGGACCUGGGUGUGCAAGCCUCAGUACCUGCUGGGUGGCUUGAGCUGCACCCCGCCCCUCCGCCACCCCUCCCCCCCUGUCCCCCGGCCCCCUGUGGUUGGUCGACAAAUCGCAUGAGAACCAGAACAAUCCUCAGGCACAUUGAGCAACCAGCUUCCAUUCCUCG